UAGGUGCGAUGGAACCUUGGCUAAGCCGCUACGGUAACAGGGCGGAUGCCGAGUUACUUCGGGCUGGGUUUGGGCGGGGGUUCUUCAUCCCCUUUCGGGACAGGGGUGGUACCCGGGACUUGCGCAACCUUAAAUCGGUGGCGGAAUUCCCAGGGGUGGUACGGGACAAGCUUGCUAAGGAAGUACUGCUGGGCAGGAUAGCGGGGCCAUUUCGGGCACCCCUGAUGGAGGGUCUUCGGGUUUCGCCACUCAGGGUGGUCCCCAAAAAGGAGCCGGG